UUAAACAAACUCCCGGCACUCCUUAGUUUCUGCGUAGCCUCCAGGGCAUUUCUCCACUGCGGUUAACUCCCAAUUUAAUGUGUAAUUACAGCUUUUGUCCUGAGUGCGUCUCAAAUCCUGACGAUUAGACCUGCAGACUGUAACCAGCGAGACAUCAAACCUCUCUGUAGAAGCCUGUAAAAGCUGCAGAGAGGCAGCUGUGGGUGUUUUCUAGCCGCUGCCAGUUUUUUAAAGGUGUGAUCUGGCAUCGAGGGCCGAGAGGAUGUUUUGCUUCCCACCAUCCCAUGUUUCUGAGCGGCCGUAUCCGAUGGCCAGGUUGUUACCGGUGGAGGGUUUGUUUAGUCAGCUGCAGCGCCGACGGCUUUGAGGAGGUGAUGAUGGUGGAUGUGGUUCGCUGCUGCCACCUGCUCGCCUCUUUAAGAUCUAAUCAGCAGCCGGCCGCAAAUUAUGACCGAUUGUUGGAGCUCCUGGUAACACUGAAUUUAAAGCUGCAGCUCGGAGGCCUCAGAACUCAACCUGACAGGUGAAUCUGCUCCAAGGUUUCCCUUUCUACCUUUGAUCUGCUUUGAAAGCUCCAUAAUUGGGUUUAAUUUUCUGCAGUCAGUCACUUCACGAGGCGUCGGCCACCGUUUCUGGAACAACACGACUCAUUUAUUUAUUCUGAGCUGCUCGGUUUAUACAACAAACGUUCAUUGACACCAACAACCGGACGACUGUCUCGAAGCUCCCGCUGCUUCCUGGGUGAAACUCCGAGCCGUUGUCUGGAAAUUCCUUCGCUUUUGUCGGAGCUUCUUGGACGAGGAGGAAGACGAGGGCUUGUCAUGGUGUUGAUUUCUGCUGAGCCGCUGCCAAAGACGCCCUGCGGGGAAACUUUCCUUUAUUUUGCUCCUUUGGCUUUCAGGAAUUCCAGUUAUUUGAUAUCUGUAAAGUACAGCAGCCUCCAUUCUAAGCUGUCUACACACUGUAAAAAAUUAAUGCAAAUUUAACUAGAAGUUCUUGGAAAAUGUGCAGAUAUUUUACAAAUGUUCUGUGAAAUUUCAGAUGAUAUAUGAUAAUUUGCUUGUUAUUUUGCUGAUAUUUGCUGUUAUUUGAAUGAAAAAUGUUAUUUCGAUGACUGAAAAAUGGUAAAUAAUUGUAAUUUAACUUCUAAUUUAACUAUAAAUCCUAAAUAAUAAUCAUAAUGAUGAUAGAUUUUAGUGUCUACAGUGAACUUUGAAAACUAAAUUUUGUCACUUUUUUUGACCAAAACUGAGGUUUGAAGCUUUUUCUAAACAGGAUUUUGCAAUUUUUCUGAUAUAUUUGAUGUUAUUUGAAAGAACAAUUAUGUUUUUCAAUGACUGAAAAAUGGUAAAUAAUUUAAAAUUUACUCCUAAGUUGUCUCUGCUUCUUGACGCAGACAGUUUCUAGUGCAUAAAGUAGUUUUUUGAGGUCUUUAUAAACAGAUUUUUGUGGCUUUGUUGUGCUUAUAUGACUGUUUGUGAUAUGCAAAUUCAUUUGACUUUUUCUAUCAGGGCUUGGUGAUUUCCAACUUAUUUCCAAUCCCUUUUAUGUCAUUUAUCUCUCCAUAUUCACAGAAAGACACUGUGUUGCUGAAUGUUUGCAGUCUGAAUGCACAGAGGUUGUAUUUUUCGUGCUUCUUUUGUACUUUUCAGGCAUUUUUUUGUCGUUAUUGAUGCCCCGGUUUCCAGUUUUUGUCUUUUUUUCACAUCAAAUUUCAACAUUUUUUCCCCUAAAAAGCAGGAGAAUUUAAUAUUUUCAGCCUAGCUUUAUCAGUUUUUCUCUCUCAUUUCAUCUCUGAGCUUCAAAAAGUUAUGUGCAGCUGCAAGAAGACUCCUCUAUCAGAAUGUUCAGCAGCUUUUAAGGCCCUUUUGAAUUUACUUCUUCGAAAAAAAGCAAAAGAAGUCAAUUAUCGUUCAUAUUUUGGGUACUAAUUGUUCUCUAUUGGUUCUCUUCUUUCAUAUUAGGGCUGAAAGCAGUGAUAAGUACAGCCGCUCAGUGGAUUUAAAUCCUGUAGCGUUGUGCUGCUGCCAUCUGCUGGUUCGUUUAAUUAUUACAGGAGAUAAAACGUGACGGAUGAGGCCUCUAAUGGAACCAGAUUCUCCAUGUUUGUCCCUCACUGCUGCACUUAGGAUGUUUCCUGCACCUUGAGUAAAGUUUUUAUGGCUGAAAAUGUCUGAAACAAACUGCGGCGUCAGCUUUUCCUGAGGGGAGUUUGACUUUUUUUUGUCAGAGAGAUAAUUUUUCAACAUUUGAACUUCUUAAAUAUCACAUUUGAUUGUUCCUUGUGUUGAAAAACGAGCCACAAAUGAGGUUGUGCUGCAAACAGCCGGUCCUUUAAUGCACUCGUCUGCAUUCGCUUCACAAAAAGAUUGUAAGAAGAUAAAUAUUUAGUUGUUUGCAAUAAAUUAGAGAAAGUAUUAUUACUGUUUUGCUUUGCACAUUUCUGGCUGCUGUAAAAAUGCUUUCUGCACAGUGAUACGAGGGAUAUUUAACCAUAGAGUUAGUAUUAAAUUGAUUAUUAUUAUUAAUAAAAUAAUAUUUUAAAAUCUGUCAUAAAAAUCACUAAAAAUCUGCCACAAGGAUUCCAGAAAAAAACAUUAAAAAUACUGGAAUAGUGUAAUAAUAAAAACAAUGAAAAUAACAGGAAAUGUCUCUACAAUAAUUAUAUUUUUGGCUAAUUAAAUGCAAUAAAUCGAAUUUUACAGUCACACAUUGUCAAACAAAAAAUUAUUAUUAACUAUUAUAAUAAUUUUCAAAAGUACAGAUUUCAAAAAUAUUUUUUCUUUAACAUGUAAAUUAGUACUUUUUCUAUGGUUUUACUAGUUAUUUGUAAUUUAACAAAACGGAAAAUUAACGGUAAAUGGUCAAAAAUGACAUCUUAAAACCUGUUUAAGAAAAGCUAGUAUCCUUACUUCUUAAGUUCAGUGCUGUUGCUAUAUAAAAUUAAUGAAUUUAUAUCGGUUUUCUUGUCCAAAUUGUUGUUUUAUUGGAUUAAAUCUCCAUAUUUUG